rnacentral:rRNA from 35 species
UUGACCUCGGAUCAGGUAGGGAUACCCGCUGAACU